rnacentral:ncRNA from 1 species
GAUGAUAGAGGCGCAACGCCCAUCAGUACCCCCGCUGAGGCCCACGGAGGCCGGUGAUCCGGGGGGAAAGGGAGCUUUGCCGAAAUGGGCUGUCCGCCGUGGGACAGCCUGUUGGGCGUCGGGAGAAGAUCCCGCCGACUGUCACAUUGCGUGGAGUGCUAUCG